GACGAACGCUGGCGGCGUGCUUAACACAUGCAAGUCGAACGGAAAGGCCCUGCUUUUGUGGGGUGCUCGAGUGGCGAACGGGUGAGUAACACGUGUGUAACCUGCCCUUGACUUUGGGAUAACUUCAGGAAACUGGGGCUAAUACCGGAUAGGAGAUCCUGCUCCAUGGUGGGGGUUGGAAAGUUUCGGCGGUUGGGGAUGGACUCGCGGCUUAUCAGUUUGUUGGUGGGGUAGUGGCUUACCAAGGCUUUGACGGGUAGCCGGCCUGGGAGGGUGACCGGCCACAUUGGGACUGAGAUACGGCCCAGACUGCUACGGGAGGCAGCAGUGGGGAAUAUUGCACAAUGGGCGGAAGCCUGAUGCAGCAACGCCGCGUGCGGGAUGACGGCCUUCGGGUUGUAAAACGCUUUCGCCUGUGACGAAGCGUGAGUGACGGUAAUGGGUAAAGAAGCACCGGCUAACUACGUG
rnacentral:rRNA from 1 species